UGACAUGAGUAACGAUAAAAUAUGUGAAAAACAUAUUCGCCGUAAAUCUAAGGUUUCCUGGGUAAAGGUAAUCUUCCCAGGGUUAGUCGGACCCUAAGGCCAGGCUGAAAGGCAUAGCUGAUGGGAAACGGGUUAAUAAUCCUGUACUUGUGCGAUUGUGCGAAGAAGGGACGCAGGAUGGUAGACAGGCCGGUUUUUGGAAUCCGGUGCAAGUGUGUAGGUAUGCUCCGCAGGCAAAUCCGCGGGGAUGAGCCGAGACACGAGUCCGUGGGCGUAAGCCCUGAAGCUGUUGAGCCACGGCUGCCAAGAAAAGCUUCUAAGUUUAGAUCGCGCGAACCGUACCGCAAACCAACUCAGGUGGAUGGGAUGAAUAAUCCAAGGCGCUCGAGAGAACUCUGGCCAAGGAACUCGGCAAAUUGACCCCGUACCUUCGGAAUAAGGGGUGCUCCCCACGGUGAGGCAGAUUCCUGUUCAGCCUCAGGGAGCCGCAGAGAAAUGGUGGUGGCGACUGUUUACUAAAAACAUAGGUCUGUGCGAAGUCCUACAGACGACGUAUACGGACUGACGCCUGCCCGGUGCCGGAAGGUUAAAAGGAGGAGUCAGCGCAAGCGAAGCUUCGAUUUGAAGCCCCGGUAAACGGCGGCCGUAACGAUAACGGUCCUAAGGUAGCGAAAUUCCUUGUCGGGCAAGUUCCGACCUGCACGAAUGGCGUAACGAUCUCCACGCUGUCUCGGCCAGAGACUCGGUGAAAUUGAAGUCGCGGUGAAAAUGCCGUGUACCCGCAGAAAGACGGAAAGACCCUGUGCACCUUUACUAUAGCUUGACAUUGGGUUUUGAACCUGCAUGUGUAGGAUAGGUGGGAGGCUGUGAAAGCUGUACGCCAGUAUGGCCGGAGCCACCCGUGAAAUACCACCCUUGUUUGUUCAGGACCCUAACUCGCAGCUGUAAUCCAGCGCGAAGACAGUGUCUGGUGGGUAGUUUGACUGGGGCGGUCGCCUCCUAAAGAGUAACGGAGGCAUGCAAAGGUUCCCUCAGGCUGAUUGGAAACCAGCCGUUGAGUGCAAGCGCAUAAGGGAGCCUGACUGCAAGAGAGACAUCUCGAACAGAUACGAAAGUAGGUGCUAGUGAUCCGGUGGUCCCGAAUGGAAGGGCCAUCGCUCAUUGGAUAAAAGGUACGCCGGGGAUAACAGGCUGAUCGCAUCCAAGAGUUCACAUCGACGAUGCGGUUUGGCACCCCGAUGUCGGCUCAUCACAUCCUGGGGCUGAAGCAGGUCCCAAGGGUACGGCUGUUCGCCGUUUAAAGUGGUACGCGAGCUGGGUUUAAAACGUCGUGAGACAGUUUGGUCCCUAUCUUCUGUGGGCGUAGGAGAAUUGAGAGGGUUUGUCCCUAGUACGAGAGGACCGGGAUGAACGCACCACUGGUGGAUCAGUUGUCGCGCCGGCGGCAUAGCUGAGUAGCUAUGUGCGGAAUGGAUAACCGCUGAAAGCAUCUAAGCGGGAAGCCAGCCUCGAGAUAAGUUCUCCCUGUCGCAAGACACUAAAGGGCCGAUGAAGACUACAUCGUUGUUAGGCCGGAGGUGGAAGCGCUGCGAGGCGUGGAGCUGACCGGUACUAAUAGCCCGUGCGCCU
rnacentral:rRNA from 1 species